rnacentral:rRNA from 1 species
AGGGCAGCCAACCAGCGAUGGUGAGCGAAUCCCAAAAAGUGCGUCGUAGUCCGGAUUGGAGUCUGCAACUCGACUCCAUGAAGUCGGAAUCGCUAGUAAUCGUGAAUCAGAAUGUCACGGUGAAUACGUUCCCGGGCCUUGUACACACCGCCCGUCACACCAUGGGAGUGGGCUGCAAAAGAAGUGGGUAGUUUAACCUUUCGAGGAGGACGCUCACCACUUUGUGGUUCAUGACUGGGGUGAAGUCGUAACAAGGUAGCCCUAGGGGAACCUGGGGCUGGAUCACCUCCUUAUACGAAGAU